GCCAGAAUAGCUCAGUGGAAGAGCAGCUCACUCGUAAUGAGCAGGUCAAGGGUUCAAGUCCCUUUUCUGGCU
rnacentral:tRNA from 1 species